rnacentral:rRNA from 2 species
AGAGUUUGAUCCUGGCUCAGGAUGAACGCUGGCGGCGUGCCUAAUACAUGCAAGUCGAGCGAACGGACGAGAAGCUUGCUUCUCUGAUGUUAGCGGCGGACGGGUGAGUAACACGUGGAUAACCUACCUAUAAGACUGGGAUAACUUCGGGAAACCGGAGCUAAUACCGGAUAAUAUUUUGAACCGCAUGGUUCAAAAGUGAAAGACGGUCUUGCUGUCACUUAUAGAUGGAUCCGCGCUGCAUUAGCUAGUUGGUAAGGUAACGGCUUACCAAGGCAACGAUGCAUAGCCGACCUGAGAGGGUGAUCGGCCACACUGGAACUGAGACACGGUCCAGACUCCUACGGGAGGCAGCAGUAGGGAAUCUUCCGCAAUGGGCGAAAGCCUGACGGAGCAACGCCGCGUGAGUGAUGAAGGUCUUCGGAUCGUAAAACUCUGUUAUUAGGGAAGAACAUAUGUGUAAGUAACUGUGCACAUCUUGACGGUACCUAAUCAGAAAGCCACGGCUAACUACGUGCCAGCAGCCGCGGUAAUACGUAGGUGGCAAGCGUUAUCCGGAAUUAUUGGGCGUAAAGCGCGCGUAGGCGGUUUUUUAAGUCUGAUGUGAAAGCCCACGGCUCAACCGUGGAGGGUCAUUGGAAACUGGAAAACUUGAGUGCAGAAGAGGAAAGUGGAAUUCCAUGUGUAGCGGUGAAAUGCGCAGAGAUAUGGAGGAACACCAGUGGCGAAGGCGACUUUCUGGUCUGUAACUGACGCUGAUGUGCGAAAGCGUGGGGAUCAAACAGGAUUAGAUACCCUGGUAGUCCACGCCGUAAACGAUGAGUGCUAAGUGUUAGGGGGUUUCCGCCCCUUAGUGCUGCAGCUAACGCAUUAAGCACUCCGCCUGGGGAGUACGACCGCAAGGUUGAAACUCAAAGGAAUUGACGGGGACCCGCACAAGCGGUGGAGCAUGUGGUUUAAUUCGAAGCAACGCGAAGAACCUUACCAAAUCUUGACAUCCUUUGACAACUCUAGAGAUAGAGCCUUCCUCUUCGGGGGACAAAGUGACAGGUGGUGCAUGGUUGUCGUCAGCUCGUGUCGUGAGAUGUUGGGUUAAGUCCCGCAACGAGCGCAACCCUUAAGCUUAGUUGCCAUCAUUAAGUUGGGCACUCUAAGUUGACUGCCGGUGACAAACCGGAGGAAGGUGGGGAUGACGUCAAAUCAUCAUGCCCCUUAUGAUUUGGGCUACACACGUGCUACAAUGGACAAUACAAAGGGCAGCGAAACCGCGAGGUCAAGCAAAUCCCAUAAAGUUGUUCUCAGUUCGGAUUGUAGUCUGCAACUCGACUACAUGAAGCUGGAAUCGCUAGUAAUCGUAGAUCAGCAUGCUACGGUGAAUACGUUCCCGGGUCUUGUACACACCGCCCGUCACACCACGAGAGUUUGUAACACCCGAAGCCGGUGGAGUAACCUUUUAGGAGCUAGCCGUCGAAGGUGGGACAAAUGAUUGGGGUGAAGUCGUAACAAGGUAGCCGUAUCGGAAGGUGCGGCUG